UGAAGAACUAAGAAUCAGUAAAAUGUCAUUGUAGCAAAAUUGACAUCGUUUUGAGUUUUAUAUUAAUAUGCACACGCCUUCAACCCAUGUUUUCUGAUCUGUUAAUUUAAAGCUUAACUGAUUUUACUCCGUUUUUUUUUUAAAUGGCACAGAUAAACUCGACGUCGUGCAAAACGUCUAAAACAACGUAUUAGCGCAACGGUGUAUAUUUUGGUGACUAUAACGCAUACAUACUACUAAAUAUGAUAUUUAAUUUGUGUGAGUGCAGUUUUAGUAGAUAUAAAAUUCGGUCAAUUGACAACAUAACCGGGGAGUUUGAAAGAGGGGCAAUAUGCAAAUGAAGCUGAAAUAAGCCAAUCAAAUAUUCGGAUAGCUGAUGCUGAUGUCAUCAUGAAAAGUAAAUUAUUAUUGGUCAGUCUGGAAAAAAGUGCAGCGUUCUCAAACCAUGUGGCAUUUGAACUAAGACGUUUGAAGAAGCAUGGCUUAUGUUGUACAAGGUAGUCGAGGUGGAAAAAUCUUAAUACAUGAAGGAUACAGGUACCAGAAAAACAGAAUUAGAUUAAACGCAAUUCACUGGCGGUGUUGGAGGAACACAUGCAGAGCCCCUUUACGAACUGCAGUUUUUGACAUACAAAAUGCACCAAACAAUAUCGACGUUUUAUAUGUAAGUUGAGUUCAUUUCAUGUAUUUUAUUCCUCAACAUACUUUUAUAAAUAAAACAUAAUUGCCUCUUGGAACCAAAGAAGUAAAAUGAGAAACUUGGUCUUUAUGUAAAAAUGAAUCCUUUUUUUUUUUCUUUUUUUUGGGGGGGGGGUUCCGAUUAUUAUCUUAUACAUCUUGUACUUCAAGCAUAUCAAUUUUACAUUUGAUACGAGCAUGUCUAAUCGGUCACUUUUCAUCAUGACAAUCUUUCUAUUUGGUAAAUUGUAUUACAUCCUGACCGGUUUUUACUUUAGAGAUAUAGAAAUUACUCUAGAGCCUAAAAGAAGAUUUCUGCGCGCAUAUCUUUUUUAAUAAUU
rnacentral:lncRNA from 1 species